rnacentral:ribozyme from 1 species
GAGACGGCAAAGGAGCGGUGGACCUCGCUGGCACCUGACUUGGCUGUGGGAGAUGUGGGGUGGGGUGGAGACUUCAACGACCCAAUUGUAUCUACUAACGACCCAAUCACGAUUUUCUUUCACGCAGGUAUGGACAAGCUUUGGUCUGACUGGGAGGUCUUCAACAUCCAUGAGCAAGGGGA